UUAGUUAGUCGUGUAGCUGCUAUAUGCACAUUGCGUUGAUCUGCCUCUACGGAAGCAGUCUUACAACAUUUGUCGCGUGUAGAGGAAAGUCCGGGCUUCAACAAGCGGGGUGCCAGAUAACGUCUGGCGGCGCGUUUCGCGUUAGGGAUAGUGCAACAGAAAAUAUACAGCCGCCGAACUGCGGCAAUGGUGAAAUGGUGCGGUAAGAGCGCACCGCAUGGUUGGUAACAACCGUGGCGUUGAAAACCCCACCUGAAGCAAGACCGAAUAGAGGCCAGUUUUACUGGGCAGACGUGGUUUGCCUGGUAGCGCGUGUUUGUCGCGUAUGGGCCGGGUUGGUCGCUUGAGGAUUAGGGCGACCUAAUUCCUAGAUGAAUAGCUACAGAAGGGGCUCGUCCUCAGAUACGAGAUAGCCAAUCACGACUGAACUGUGGGUUCGUCGAUCCGGUGCUCGAAUGCUCACGUACUUUAGUACGCUGUGCUUCUGCGCUCCAUGUCUCCUGCCCACAAUUCACUUGUGAUUGGCUAUAAUUUACCGUUCUUAAAGGAUGGGCCCUUGAACAGAACCCGGCUUAUAGGCUAGCUAAACAC
rnacentral:RNase_P_RNA from 1 species